UUUCCGGUUGAUCCUGCCGGACCUGACUGCUAUCGGAUUGAUACUAAGCCAUGCGAGUCCUUGCAGUAAUGCAAGGCAUACGGCUCAGUAACACGUAGUCAACUUACCCUAUGGACGAGGAUAAUCUCGGGAAACUGAGCAAAAUACUCGAUAGAUCAUAAUGCCUGGAAUGGUUUAUGGUUGAAAUGAUCGCCAUAGGAUGGGACUGCGGCCUAUCAGCUUGUUGGUGAGGUAAUGGCCCACCAAGGCGAUUACAGGUACGGGCUCUGAGAGGAGAAGCCCGGAGAUGGGUACUGAGACAAGGACCCAGGCCCUAUGGGGCGCAGCAGGCGAGAAAACUUUGCAAUGUGCGAAAGCACGACAAGGUUAAUCCGAGUGAUUUCUGCUAAAGAAAUCUUUUGCAAGUCAUAAAACCACUAGUGAAUAAGGGGUGGGCAAGUUCUGGUGUCAGCCGCCGCGGUAAAACCAGCACCUCAAGUGGUCAGGAGGAUUAUUGGGCCUAAAGCAUCCGUAGCCGGCUCUGUAAGUUUUCGGUUAAAUCCAUGUGCUCAACGCAUGGGCUGCCGAAAAUACUGCAUAGCUAGGGAGUGGGAGAGGUAGACGGUACUCGGUAGGAAGGGGUAAAAUCCUUUGAUCUAUCGAUGACCACCUGUGGCGAAGGCGGUCUACCA
rnacentral:rRNA from 1 species